UCACAUCUUUACCACAUUCAUACUAUAAUCAUUAUAAACUCAUCACAUAAUACCAUAGCACACGCAUGCAUAAUUAAAAUAGAUUUACAACCCCAUAAUCAAAAUAGGCCAACACAUAUGGUUAAAGCCAUAUCACAUACUCUAAUAUUUAAACUCCUAUACAUGCCAUAGGCUCAAAGUACUUGAAAUCACUACACCAAUAGCGUUAGCUUGACAGUGUGAUAAUAUCCCUGACGGCCUCCAACCCGAGCUAACUUGGAAACUCUAGAAAACAUGGGAAAGAAGAGGGGGGUAAGCUUUCGCUUAGUCAGUUCAUAUGAAAACAAUAAGCACUCAUUAACUUGUUUUAUCAAUGUUUACAACAUAUUCUCAAGUUCACUACAAGCUGUCUUUCUGAGCAACGGUCACUAAAUUAUUUAUAUCUAGAGCUACGAAACUCCGAAUUAAGUUCUGUUAAUUUUACCUGAAACUAGACUUAUUUUCCUUUCUUCCAUAAAAUUUUCAGAAUUUUUGGUUAAGCCGAAUAGUACAAUUUAUUCCUCAAAGUUACCCCUGAUUCACUGUCUGACAGUUCCGACCCUUCUGUACUAAAGUUCAAUUAUCUUAUAGUACAAGACUCGAAUAAUGUUCUCGUCUAUUUCUCUUGAAACUAGACUCAUAUGUCUACUUAUUAAUUUUUUCUAGAAUUUUUGGUUGGGCCAAUUAGUACAGUUUAUUAGUUAAAGUCUCCCCUGUUUCAGGGUAUGACCACUCUGACCCCUAUGCACUACAAACCGAAUUUCUCCCUAUACAAAAUUCCAACGAUCAUGGCGUUUAUUUCCCCUAAAAACAGACUCAAUAAGGAAUCCAUGAAUGUAAGGUAUGACUCUUAAUAAUUUUUUCACAAUUUUUGGUGAAUUUAUAAAGUCAGAAUAGGGGAUCUCAAAUUCAUUCAGACCCUGUUUCACAAGAAUUCAAAUAUCACACAAUAUGGAAUUCUUUUUCUUCCCCUGUUUCUUUCAUGUGAAAAUAGACUCAUUAAGCUUUAAUCCCAUAUUUUAUUCUGCCUCUGACUCAUUUUCCACUAUUUUUAGUGUAUUUUCAAAGUUACACUACUGCAGUAACUCAAAUCUGUCAAGGCUAAAUUACUCAUUCAUGAUCAUUGUUCACAAAAUUAAUACAACAUCGUUUGUAUAAUCAUCACCGAGACAUUCAUAUCACAUUUUCAUUUAUCAUCUUACCAUAUUGUUGUUAUGUCGAGUUUUCAACCCGAGGGUUAAGUACAUACCUGUUCAAAGUAUCCAUUUCACAACAUUUACCAAUACGUCCCUUUCAUCUUAAGUAUUCCUCCAUUUGAGUAGAAUUUUACCCGUUGAACACAUCGGAAUAUAAUUCGGAUACAUGGAAAGUUUGCACAUAAGUGCCACAUAUGUAGCCAAGCUACCAUGUAACCCGCCCAUAAGUGAACUCGGACUCAACUCAACGAGCUCGGGCGUUCGCAUCCAUAAGUGAACUCGGACUCAACUCAACGAGCUCGGAUGCCUAGUUACAUCUCAUGAACUCGAACUCAACUCAACUAGUUCGAACAUUCGCAUCCAUAAGUGAACUCGGACUCAACUCAACGAGUUCGGAUGCUCAACCAUCCUAGUGACAUGUCACUUGUAUCCUAAUCUAUUCCUAAGGUUCAAACGGGAUUUUCCUCGAACACAUAUCCUUGCCAUCUUCCGUAAAAUACCGAAACCAAUACUCGGUAGCACUUUAUAUUUAACAGAUAAUACACAUAACUUGCAUUUUAUUCGAAAAUAACCACAAAGCAUAUAUUUCAUGAUAAAAAUCAGCAUAUCAUAUAUUUAACAUCAAUAACUUAAAAAUAACAAUUAUGCUACAUUAUUUACACAUGAACUUACCUCGAUACCACAAAGGUGAAAAAAAAGACGUAAUUAUCCCUUAAUCGAUUUCUUUCCGUUCUAGGUCCAAAUAUCGAUUUUCAUCAUCUAAAAUAUCACAUUCAACUUAUUAAAACAAUGUACUGAUCAAAUUAGUCCAUUGACACACUUGGGCAAUUUUUACAAUUUUGCCCCUAUAUUUUGCCAAAAUUACCAAAUUACCCCUAGGCUCGUAAAAUAAUUUUUAUCACAUUUCUUUACUCCUUGAGUCUAGAUGAACCAUUUUCAUAAUUAUAACAACUCAUAAUUUCAACUAUUUCACACAUUUACAACUCAUUUUACAACUUAGCAAUCUAGCCCUUUUUAAGGUGUUUUCAUGCAAUUUUUUUCACAAAAGUUGUUUAUUAGACAACUAGGACUCAUAAUCUUCCAUAAAAACAUAACAAACAACACAUUUACUCUCAUGGCAAAACCCUAGACUCUUCAUCAUUUUGCAAAAUAGAUCCCUCAUAUGAAAGCUCAUGCUUUAGUGGUUCCAAAAAUGUAAAAAUCAUCAAGCAAAGACAUUAAAAUCACUUACAAGCAAGGGAAAUAUGUUGCUGAAAUUUUCCAGCUUCAAAGCCCUUUCUUUGCUGCGUAUUUCGGUGAAGGAGAAGAGAAAAAUGAUAGCUUUUUCUUUUU
rnacentral:lncRNA from 1 species